rnacentral:rRNA from 16 species
GGAUGCGAUCAUACCAGCACUAAAGCACCGGAUCCCAUCACAACUCCGAAGUUAAGCGUGCUUGGGCGAGAGUAGUACUAGGAUGGGUGACCUCCUGGGAAGUCCUCGUGUUGCAUUCU